GAUGGGGAGGAAAGAGUAACUGCAUUUAUUUUGCAAGGCUAUCUGAAGAUCCUGAGGAAACUUGGUCUGCCGCUGAGCUUGGUCAGCUAGUGCCAAAAAACGCAGUUCACCCCAUGUUCUAUGCCAUGAUGGUUUCUGACUUUGGGAGCAACGUUUUGUGUUCAAGUACAAUUGAUCUCUAUUGGCAUGCUGCUCUUACGCCUGGGUGUAUUGUGCAUUUGUCAUGUGCUUGCACCGGGUUUCAUCCACGUGCUGAUAA